rnacentral:rRNA from 1 species
UACGGGGGGGGCAGGCGUUGUUCGGAAUUACUGGGCGUAAAGGGCUCGUAGGUGGCCAACUAAGUCAGACGUGAAAUCCCUCGGCUUAACCGGGGAACUGCGUCUGAUACUGGAUGGCUUGAGUUCGGGAGAGGGAUGCGGAAUUCCAGGUGUAGCGGUGAAAUGCGUAGAUAUCUGGAGGAACACCGGUGGCGAAGGCGGCACCCUGGACCGACACUGACGCUGAGGAGCGAAAGCCAGGGGAGCAAACGGG